rnacentral:rRNA from 1 species
UGCUAAUACCGCAUAAUAGUAUUUGAUGCAUAUCAGAUACUUGAAAGGCGCAAUUGCGUCACUAGAAGAUGGCCCCGCGGUGCAUUAGCUAGUUGGUGAGGUAACGGCUCACCAAGGCAAUGAUGCAUAGCCGACCUGAGAGGGUGAUCGGCCACACUGGGACUGAGACACGGCCCAGACUCCUACGGGAGGCAGCAGUAGGGAAUCUUCGGCAAUGGACGCAAGUCUGACCGAGCAACGCCGCGUGAGUGAAGAAGGUUUUCGGAUCGUAAAACUCUGUUGUAAGAGAAGAACGUUGAUGAGAGUGGAAAGUUCAUCAAGUGACGGUAUCUUACCAGAAAGGCACGGCUAACUACGUGCCAGCAGCCGCGGUAAUACGUAGGUGGCAAGCGUUGUCCGGAUUUAUUGGGCGUAAAGCGAGCGCAGGCGGUUGAUUAAGUCUGAUGUGAAAGCCCCCGGCUCAACCGGGGAGGGUCAUUGGAAACUGGUCAACUUGAGUGCAGAAGAGGAGAGUGGAAUUCCAUGUGUAGCGGUGAAAUGCGUAGAUAUAUGGAGGAACACCAGUGGCGAAGGCGGCUCUCUGGUCUGUAAC